CUGUCUCAAGAUAAGCCAUGCACGUCUAGUACAAACUAAAUGAUGGUGAAACUGCAAAUGGCUCAUUAUAACGGUUAUGAUGUACCCGGGAGUUCCGAUGGAUAUUUCCAGUAACACUAGAACUAAUACAUGUCCCUGCGUUUAUUAGUUUCGCACAGUCCGUCGCUGAGUCAUGGUAAACAGUUGAUCGACUCGACGUCCCGGAACAGUUUCCGCCCCAUCAGCUUCGAUGGUUGGGUAUUGGCCUACCAUUGCAACAACGGGUAACGAGGAAUUAGGGUUUGAUUUCGGAGAGGGAGCCUGAGAAACGGCUACCACAUCUACGGAUGGCAGCAGGCGCGCAAAUUACCCAAUGCGGACACUGUGAGGUAGUGACGAGAAAUAAUAAAGCGGGACUUCUGUUUCGCUAUUAUAAUGAGGAAUAACCAAAGGUCAUUCCGAUUAGCAACUGAUGGGAAAGUCUGGUGCCAGCAGCCGCGGUAAUACCAGCGUCAGUAGCA
rnacentral:rRNA from 1 species